AUUGAACGCUGGCGGCAGGCCUAACACAUGUAAGUCGAGCGGAUGAAGGGAGCUUGCUCCUGGAUUCAGCGGCGGACGGGUGAGUAAUGCCUAGGAAUCUGCCUGGUAGUGGGGGAUAACGUCCGGAAACGGGCGCUAAUACCGCAUACGUCCUGAGGGAGAAAGUGGGGGAUCUUCGGACCUCACGCUAUCAGAUGAGCCUAGGUCGGAUUAGCUAGUUGGUGGGGUAAAGGCCUACCAAGGCGACGAUCCGUAACUGGUCUGAGAGGAUGAUCAGUCACACUGGAACUGAGACACGGUCCAGACUCCUACGGGAGGCAGCAGUGGGGAAUAUUGGACAAUGGGCGAAAGCCUGAUCCAGCCAUGCCGCGUGUGUGAAGAAGGUCUUCGGAUUGUAAAGCACUUUAAGUUGGGAGGAAGGGCAGUAAGUUAAUACCUUGCUGUUUUGACGUUCCAACAGAAUAAGCACCGGCUAACUUCGUG
rnacentral:rRNA from 1 species